GUCUAUAGCCAUGCCACCCUGAACGUGCCCAAUCCCGUCUGAUCUAGGAAGCCAAGCAGGGUCGUGCCUGGUUAGCACUUAGAUGGGAGACCACCUAGGAAUACCAGGUGCUGUAGGUG
rnacentral:rRNA from 1 species